rnacentral:rRNA from 1 species
UACAGAGGUCUCAAGCGUUGUUCGGAUUCAUUGGGCGUAAAGGGUGUGUAGGUGGCGCCGUAAGUCGGGUGUGAAAUCUCGGGGCUUAACUCCGAAACUGCAUUCGAUACUGCGGUGCUUGAGGACUGGAGAGGAGACUGGAAUUCAUGGUGUAGCAGUGAAAUGCGUAGAGAUCAUGAGGAAGACCAGUGGCGAAGGCGGCUCUCUGGGCCUUUCCUGACGCUGAGACGCGAAAGCGUGGGGAGCGAACCGG